AGCUGCAAAUUAAUGCACAGAAAACCAAUCCAGAAAUUAAGAGAGAGACACACACACAGGUGGCUGGCCGACGAUGGAGCAGACGAGGAAGAUGACGAUCGCCUUAACUCUGGUUUUGUUCAUAACCUCGUCCUCUCAUUCGGAGAACGCCGCAGCUUCCGCUUCUGACUGCUAGAGCUCCUGUCAGACCCACUGUAGCGGUGGCCCUCACCGUGGUGGUGUAAAUCUCUGUUCAGUUAUAUAUAUAUAUAUAUAUAUUAUCUCCGCUUAAUAUCACUUGUUACAGUCACGAUUGAAUGAGAAACAAAUAAUUGUUUCAAGAAUAUAGAGAGAGGUGCAGAAGAGAUAAAUAUUACUGCACUCUCGUCUCCGAACCGUAAUUUACCUAAUUCUUACUCUCGACUGCAAUUUAAUUGAUGUCCCAAUUGUCCUCCGAUAUACAUGUUGUAACUUCAAGACAAUAUUAACAAUCUCGAUCCUAUUUGCAUUCAGUCGUACCGAAUCGGGAGGCCGUGCCAUGCGAUCGCAUUUGCGCAUCAAAAUGCAGGCUAGAUCUUCAAGCUAAGGGCCACCAUAAGUGAAGAGGAUUCCAGUCUUUGGAUUGCAUGGAAACUUCAGCAGCAGCUAGCGGCGGCUUGGUGUACUCUUCCAUUUGCAAUUGUAGCAACCGCAUAUAUAUAUAUAUGUCUAAAAUAAAAGAUAAUACCACUCCCGAUUAUAAAUAUGUGUGGUUCUAGAUAAGAUUUAUAUAGGUUGCUAUUUAAUGAUAUAAAUAAAUAUUAAAAUUUAUUUUUUUUA